rnacentral:lncRNA from 1 species
CCCAUCUACUGCCCGUUUUAUCACCGGUCCUUCAUCCCCCACCGAUCUCGUUUCCGAUGGAAUCUCCACCGUCAAAAACCCACCUUUCCUCUCACUCAAGCCCCUGUUUUCAGCGGAGGAAUCGUGUGAACAAACCUAUGGGUUCUUACCCUGUACCACCACAGUUCUCGGCAACUUGUUUUUGAUCAUUGUUUAUGGAUACCUUAUGUUUUUAGCUGCUACUUACUUGUCUAAUGGAAGUGAGCUUUUGCUUGAGAUCCUCGGUCCUGGUAUUGUCGGAGGAUUGUUCUUGCCUAUUCUUGGAGCACUUCCCGAUGCAAUGCUUAUUCUUGGUAAGUUUGAAGUCUUUUUGUU